rnacentral:misc_RNA from 1 species
AACGCACAUUGCGCCCGCCAGUAUUCUGGCGGGCAUGCCUGUUCGAGCGUCAUUUCAACCAUCAAGCCCCAGGCUUGUGUUGGAGCCCUGCGGCUGCCGCAGCCUCUCAAAAUCAGUGGCGGGCUCGCUAUCACACCGAGUGCAGUAGUUUACUCUUCGCUCAGGGCGUGUGGCGGGUGCUGGCCGUGAAACCCCCAACUUCUCAAGGUUGACCUCGGAUCAGGUAGGAAUACCCGCUGAACUUAA